rnacentral:rRNA from 1 species
GAUGAACGCUAGCGGCAGGCCUAACACAUGCAAGUCGAGGGGGAAGUUACUUUCGGGUGACUGAGACCGGCGUACGGGUGCGUAACGCGUAUACAAUCUGCCUUUCACUGGGGGAUAGCCCGAAGAAAUUUGGAUUAAUACCCCAUAGUAUAUAGGGACGGCAUCGUUUUUAUAUUAAAGCUUAGGUGGUGAAAGAUGAGUAUGCGUUCUAUUAGCUAGUUGGAGAGGUAACGGCUCCCCAAGGCGAUGAUAGAUAGGGGUUCUGAGAGGGGUGUCCCCCACACUGGUACUGAGAUACGGACCAGACUCCUACGGGAGGCAGCAGUGAGGAAUAGUGGACAAUGGUCGGAAGACUGAUCCAGCCAUGCCGCGUGCAGGAUGAAGGUCUUAUGGAUUGUAAACUGCUUUUGUAAGGGAAGAAUAAGGGCUACGCGUAGUUUGAUGACGGUACCUUACGAAUAAGCAUCGGCUAACUCCGUG